UCAAAGUAUUUACUUUGACACUUAAACAAAAAUAUAAAAAUUUUAAAAAAUUUGAACCAACCGUUUUGUCAGAAAAAAUACACUGGUUAUAUAGCAAUUUGACAAACACCAAUUUUGAUCAUUGAGAAGCUUCAUAUUCCUUGUACAACACAACGUAAUUAAAACGUUAAGCUGACUUUACAGAGUUAUCUCCCUGUAGUGUUAGGUACCAC
rnacentral:lncRNA from 1 species